rnacentral:pre_miRNA from 1 species
AUCACCAGGGGAUCUUAUUAAAAUGCAGAUUUUGAAUGAGUACAUGUAGGGGUGGGGGCUGAGAGUCUGCAUUUCUAAUAAGCUACCAGGUGAUGUUGA